AUGAACGCUGGCGGCGUGCCUAAUACAUGCAAGUCGAGCGAACAGACGAGGAGCUUGCUCCUCUGACGUUAGCGGCGGACGAGUGAGUAACACGUGGAUAACCUACCUAUAAGACUGGGAUAACUUCGGGAAACCGGAGCUAAUACCGGAUAAUAUAUUGAACCGCAUGGUUCAAUAGUGAAAGACGGUUUUGCUGUCACUUAUAGAUGGAUCCGCGCCGCAUUAGCUAGUUGGUAAGGUAACGGCUUACCAAGGCAACGAUGCGUAGCCGACCUGAGAGGGUGAUCGGCCACACUGGAACUGAGACACGGUCCAGACUCCUACGGGAGGCAGCAGUAGGGAAUCUUCCGCAAUGGGCGAAAGCCUGACGGAGCAACGCCGCGUGAGUGAUGAAGGUCUUCGGAUCGUAAAACUCUGUUAUUAGGGAAGAACAAAUGUGUAAGUAACUAUGCACGUCUUGACGGUACCUAAUCAGAAAGCCACGGCUAACUACGUG
rnacentral:rRNA from 1 species